UUCGUCCAUGGCCAUCAUCGGAGUUCGUCUUGUUUCCGACGAGCUCGAGCCGCGUCUCCUUCUCUAGCCAUCACCACUGCAUUCCUCUCCGUCGGGCGCACCUCCCCAUCCCCUCAUUUCAUCGUCGGAGCCCCUCUGGCCACGUGCUCCAAGUUCGGUCGCCGCCUCUGCCGUUCGGUCACCUUCUCAACCACCGCCCCGAGCAUCCUCGCUCCUCUCCACCACCACCACCGCCUUCCCCAUGCUCCGGCAAACAUCCUCAGCCCCUUGCCCUCACCAGAGUCAGCCUGCAUCGUCGAGCUUCACCAUCGGCCGGCCGCCUCUGCUCCUCCCUGUCGCCACUCACCGCCAUCGCUCCCAGCCGCCCCGUCGCUCCCUCUCUACAGAGAUGGACGCGGGAGGCUGAGCCACGCCCGUCGAUGGCCUCUGCUUGGCCGGGCCUGGCCGGAGCCGCCAGGCCCCCUUGUCUGCAGCGCCCCUGCCCUCCUCCUCUGCUUCUGUCGUGACCAGGCACGAGAGAAGGAAGAAGAUAGCGCCAGCCUGGCCCUGCCCCCGGGUCCCGCCUGUAAGCCUCUCCCGCCCGGGCCCGCACGUUUUUAAGUAUAAGCGCAUUUCCAAAAAUACGUUUUCUGUUUUCAGAAAGAGUAUUCCUUUCCCCCCUUUUGAUAAAAUACAUUUUCUAAGCGGGAAAGCGUAUUCCUCUCUUCAGGAGCUCAAAAUAAGUUUUCUCAGUGCAGGAACGUACUCUGCCAGAAGGCGCUCUCUGUUUUGCCUCCAGGGACUUGUUUGUAGAAGUUUUAUUCACAGAUUAAUCCCUGAGCUUCCAACCUUCAUAACUUCGCAACCGUAGCUCCGGUCAAGGUGAAACCAACGCUCACUUCUUUGUCUUGUCAAGACCUUUCUAUUGGUAACAUUUUUACUAGGUGGACACAUAGUGAAAAUUACCAUUUUGCCCUUGCUUCUAAUCAGCCCCCUCCGAGAGAGAAAAGUCUGACAUUUCGUUCCUUGGCUUCACCGCACUUCUUCCCGGAGUCUCUUCACCCCCAGGCAAGACACAACAGCCACUUGCAUGAUAGCCAUGCAUUAGCCAUGGUUUCUACUUGAAUAUUUAAUAAAAGUUUGCUCGUUAUUUGUCUGCUUGUUUGCUACGGUUGUCGUUGUUUCGGUUAUGCUCGUGGUUUCAUGUUCACCUUCAUGCUAUGUUCAAUGCAUCUUGUUAUCUUGUACUAAUUGCUAGUAUUAUUGUCACAUGUUAUGCUUGAUAGUAGUAGUACAUGCUGGUAGCAGUGGGGUGUUCUUUCUGAUGCAUGUUUACCGUCUGUUAUAAAGUACCGUUGCUACGCAUGUUACUUUGCAUCAAGUUGGUUAUAUGCUUACUUGGUAUUAUUCUUGCUUUGUUCUUGAAUGGUAUUUAUUCAUGAUGCUAGUGGUCAUGCUAUGCUUAUGGUAGAGUUAUGCUUGUGUUAUUCAUGCUCGUCAGUAUGCCAUGCUCAUUCAGAUAUAUGAUUCAUUGUGGUUAUGCUCGAUGAUUAUGUUGCACCCCCAUGUUGAUAUCAUGCUCAUGCAUUGUAGUUGCAUCAUGUUAUUUUAUUAUAGCUCAGCUUAUUGCAUUCAAGUUUAACCAGAUAAUGAUGAGCUUGAACAACUGUUUGCUGAGUCAUGGUGCCACCAGACCGAGCUGACCAGUGCAACCACAUUUGCCUUUUAUGGGAUGGUCCUAACUGGGUCUAUUGUCAAGCCUCUCGCCGGUGCCUCCAACGCGGGAAGGUUAUGGGUGCGCGCUACCCUCACUACAAAAAAAAGACACAUCCAUGACAUUUUGGGCCAAACAAAACUUUUU
rnacentral:lncRNA from 1 species